UCAUCCUCCCCACGACCCUUCCGAGGCGGUAUUGCCAUGAGCCACGUUUGCAAAUGAAAACCUCCAGCCUCACGGAAGAGAGUGAUUUGGCCAAGCUGGCUCAGCCGGGAAGGAAGAGUGGGCAGAUUUGAAUGCAGCACUUCCCCCCCCCUUCUUCUUUUACUCUACUUUGCGGGGAUCUCGACCCCUAGGGCAUCAAAGAAGGUAAUUUGCGCCCAGUGAUGUGAUUCUUCCGAGCAGCCCCGGGGGCGCCUCCUGGGGAGCGGCUGGGCGCGGGGCGUCAGCUGCGCUUAGUGGUGCAGGCGAAGGCGGGUUUGUCUGCCUGCGGUCCCUGUUUCUCCCCUUUGAUUCUCCCUCCUCCUGGAGCCCCAGAUUCUUAACACUUCCCACGUCUUGACAAAUGGCGACGCCACCGACAUAAAGACAAUCUUAAGCAAACUUGUGCAGUGGGCUUGUGCAGUGAUUUCUCCCGCUCCUAGAGCCGAAGGUCCAGCAGUCACCGGCUGAACCUGGAGGAACCUCACUGGGUCACCUUCAGUGAACUGGAGAAACUUGUUCUGACCAGGGGCUGAGACCUGAACGCUCCUUGGCUGCUUCCUCACUGGAGCUAUGCUGAGUGCCCAACUGUCUACUGAGAAAUAAAGUGGAAGUGACCCAGUAAGAAAGGAAAAUGUGCAUGGCCUGCCCUGGUCACACAAUUAAAACAUAUACGCUGGCCAAAGGUACAUCAGGGCUCCACCCAUCCCUUCAGAGAGAGAAGGGCCCUUUUUGACCUGGAAGCCUAUUAAAGCAUUCCACAAGAGAAUUCUCUGCGCCUUCCGAGGGGACACUGUGAGAAAACCUUGUUCCUUAGAAUGCAGACACACAAAGGGUUUUGUGCAAAUACUGAGCUCUGAUUCUCUAAAUGCAAAGAAGCAUUAGGGAUGGUAUGUGAACAAAAGGCUGGACAGAGGAUGCACGCCCAGAUGCUGUCUUGGCCAGGUUGCAAUCUGAAUGAUCUAAUGUUUUCUGGCUCCCUCUUGCUUGGCUUUUCCAAUUUGGUUUGAAUAUUUGCAUUACUGUAUUA